rnacentral:rRNA from 1 species
GACGAACGCUGGCGGCGUGCCUAAUACAUGCAAGUCGAACGAGAGCGACCGGUGCUUGCACUGGUCAAUCUAGUGGCGAACGGGUGAGUAACACGUGGGUAACCUGCCCAUCAGAGGGGGAUAACAUCCGGAAACGGAUGCUAACACCGCAUAGGUCUUCGAGCCGCAUGGCUUGAAGAGGAAAAGAGGCGCAAGCUUCUGCUGAUGGCUGGACCCGCGGUGCAUUAGCUAGUUGGUGAGGUAACGGCUCACCAAGGCCGUGAUGCAUAGCCGACCUGAGGGGGGGUACGGACAAAUGGGGACAGAGACACGGCCAAAACUCCGAGGGGGGGCAGCAGGGGGGAAUGUUCCGAAAUGGACGGAAGUCGGACGGAGAAACGCCGGGGGAGGGAAGAAGGUUUUGGGAGCGGAAAACUCUUUUGUUGAAAAAAAAAAAGUGCAAGAGUAACUUUUGGCCCUUUGGGGGUAUCAAACUAGAAAGCCACGGCAAACUACG